rnacentral:rRNA from 1 species
GGUUGGUACUUGUACCGACUGGAUGAGCAGCGAACGGGUGAGUAACGCGUGGGAAUCUGCCUUUGAGCGGGGGACAACAUUUGGAAACGAAUGCUAAUACCGCAUAAAAACUUUAAACACAAGUUUUAAGUUUGAAAGAUGCAAUUGCAUCACUCAAAGAUGAUCCCGCGUUGUAUUAGCUAGUUGGUGAGGUAAAGGCUCACCAAGGCGAUGAUACAUAGCCGACCUGAGAGGGUGAUCGGCCACAUUGGGACUGAGACACGGCCCAAACUCCUACGGGAGGCAGCAGUAGGGAAUCUUCGGCAAUGGACGAAAGUCUGACCGAGCAACGCCGCGUGAGUGAAGAAGGUUUUCGGAUCGUAAAACUCUGUUGGUAGAGAAGAACGUUGGUGAGAGUGGAAAGCUCAUCAAGUGACGGUAACUACCCAGAAAGGGACGGCUAACUACGUGCCAGCAGCCGCGGUAAUACGUAGGUCCCGAGCGUUGUCCGGAUUUAUUGGGCGUAAAGCGAGCGCAGGUGGUUUAUUAAGUCUGGUGUAAAAGGCAGUGGCUCAACCAUUGUAUGCAUUGGAAACUGGUAGACUUGAGUGCAGGAGAGGAGAGUGGAAUUCCAUGUGUAGCGGUGAAAUGCGUAGAUAUAUGGAGGAACACCGGUGGCGAAAGCGGCUCUCUGGCCUGUAACUGACACUGAGGCUCGAAAGCGUGGGGAGCAAACAGGAUUAGAUACCCUGGUAGUCCACGCCGUAAACGAUGAGUGCUAGAUGUAGGGAGCUAUAAGUUCUCUGUAUCGCAGCU